UGGGAAUAUUGCACAAUGGAGGGAACUCUGAUGCAGCGACGCCGCGUGAACGAAGAAGGCUUUCGAGUCGUAAAGUUCUUUUAUAUGGGAAGAUAAUGACGGUACCAUAAGAAAAAGCCCCGGCUAACUACGUGCCAGCAGCCGCGGUAAUACGUAGGGGGCUAGCGUUGUCCGGAAUCACUGGGCGUAAAGGGUUCGCAGGCGGAAAUGCAAGUCAGGUGUAAAAGGCAGUAGCUUAACUACUGUAAGCAUUUGAAACUGCAUAUCUUGAGAAGAGUAGAGGUAAGUGGAAUUUUUAGUGUAGCGGUGAAAUGCGUAGAUAUUAAAAAGAAUACCGGUGGCGAAGGCGACUUACUGGGCUCAUUCUGACGCUGAGGAACGAAAGCGUGGGUAGCAAACAGG
rnacentral:rRNA from 3 species